GGGACCCGCACAAGCGGUGGAUGAUGUGGAUUAAUUCGAUGCAACGCGAAAACCUUACGUACCGGUGACAUGCCAGGAACCCUGCUGAGAGGUGGGGGUGCUCGAAAGAGAGCCUGGGCACAGGUGCUGCAUGGCUGUCGUCAGCUCGUGUCGUGAGAUGUUGGGUUAAGUCCCGCAACGAGCGCAACCCUUGUCAUUAGUUGCCAUCAUUUGGUUGGGCACUCUAAUGAGACUGCCGGUGACAAACCGGAGGAAGGUGGGGAUGACGUCAAGUCCUCAUGGCCCUUAUGGGUAGGGCUUCACACGUCAUACAAUGGUCGGUACAGAGGGUUGCCAAGCCGCGAGGUGGAGCCAAUCCCAGAAAGCCGAUCGUAGUCCGGAUCGUAGUCUACAACUCGACUGCGUGAAGUCGGAAUCGCUAGUAAUCGUGGAUCAGCAUGCCACGGUGAAUACGUUCCCGGGUCUUGUACACACCGCCCGUCACACCAUGGGAGUGGGUUUCACCAGAAGUAGGUACCUAACCGCGAGGGGGGCGCUUACCACGGUGGGAUUCAUGACUGGG
rnacentral:rRNA from 1 species